AGUCUCUCUUGAUCAAAAUUUUACUGGUGGAUGAUAGGUAUGCAAUCACACACUCUUCAAUGGAUAGAAACACGCCUUCUUCCCUGAUGAAGUUUUUCUCUCAAUGGGAUUACAAAUUAAAGAACUAAGAGCAUGGGCUCUGUUCUACGAUGAAAGAAGCCAUACAUAACUAUUGAAAAUCAAGCUUCGAGACCCUGUUGGCCUUUCUUUAGUUAGCUUCAAGCAAUAAGACUUCCGGCAAGGGUGGCCAGGAAAGGGGAGACAUCAGUUUUACGAGCCAAUUAUGGCUGCAUUCUGAUCAAAUAUGAUGGCCAAAGGUGAGUCCCAUGUGAUUAGGGUGUGAGCUUGAUUUAUUAAUUAAUUGAGUAGGGCUCCGAUUCUGCUUCUAAACUUUGCCGCAAUGACUCUUUCAAGUCUCGGCUGAAUUUGUUCUAAUAAAGCCCUGCAAAUUCUGGCAGCCCAACAAGCUUUUCUUCUAUUUGAAAUCGACCAAUGUUUAGGUUUUCAAUCGAGAGAUACAAUAUUUUUGAAGAAGAAUUUUACAGAGAGUUUUCCAUAAGGUGCUGACAUUUUUGCUACAAUACAUGUUUGCCCAAUCUAUAUAAGGUCCCUAACACCCCUCUAGAUUAUGCAAGAACCAAUAUAUAUUUUGCUACAAUACAUGUUUGCUCUCCCAAUCUGAUUUGUAGCAUAAUAUAGAAUGAAUUUUAGAGAGAGGAUUCAAUG
rnacentral:lncRNA from 1 species